AUCGCUUCUUGUCCUUUUGGCUAAAAUCAAUUGUAGUAUCUGCUCUUAUUAGUUUAAUAUCUGAUAUGUCCUCUAUCCAAGGACAAUAAAUUGAAUGAAUUUUUGGAAGUAAGAGUUGGAAUAGGAGCUUGUUCCAUCCACUCCACUCAUUGACUUGGUAUUGUAGUACCUCGGGAACAGUUCAUCCUCU